GCUAUUAAAGAAAGCGCCAGAACGCAGCAGAUCCUAAUCUGUUGAUUGGGUCGGAGAGCUGCUUUUUCUUCUUCUUCCUUCAUAUUAGAAGAACUUAAUCACAUUGGUGUCGAAACCCAGGAAGAAGAAGACGGGGUCGGCGAUUCAGAACAUAUGGUCUGAAAGUCCAACCUUCCCCGAUGCACACUUAGUCCCGUCAAUUGGAGGGCCCUUCUUGGUCUUGCAGAAGAAAGGGUUUUCUGGAUGGCUGCACCACAGCUGCUUGCAAGGAUCGUAGGAAGGCCCAGCGACAGACAUUCUCCAGACUCUGAGAUGCAUUGCCCAGCUCUAUUAAACCCAUGGACUGACAACAGCAACACAAAUCACAGCUUCUCCAUGAUGUACCUCCAGCGUUCUCCAGUCUCCAGGACCUAGACUGCAGCUCUGCACAAGAAGUUUGACCAGAGGAAAAAUGGUCAUUCCAAACUGAGCCUGGUUUCUCUCAAGGUUUUUUCGUUCACUUUCGUCAAUUGGUAAAAUUUUGUUCCUCGCCACUGUCGCCACUGGCUUGCUUGGUUUGGGACUUGUGGAGCUGUGCAUCGAUGGAUUUGCUCUUCAGUGUUUGGCUUUUCAGCAGUGAAAAUUAAACCACACUGAACUGAACUAAACUGAACUUCAACUCUGAAAACUGGACUGGCAGUUUCAAUGUACUAGAACUUCUAUGUUAAGGUGCUUUAAUACAAUCUACAUUGUAAAAGCGCAAUAGAAAUAAA